rnacentral:rRNA from 1 species
AUUGAACGCUGGCGGCAAGCCUAACACAUGCAAGUCGAACGAGUGGCGGACGGGUGAGUAAUGUAUGGGAAACUGCCUGAUGGAGGGGGAUCACUACUGGCAACGGUAGCUAAUACCGCAUACCCUCGGAUGUGCCCGGAUGGGAUUAGCUAGUAGGUGGGGUAAAGGCUCACCUAGGAGACGAUCCCUAGCUGGUUUUAGAGGAUGACCAGCCACACUUGAACUGAGACACGGUCCAGACUCCUACGGGAGGCAGCAGGGGGGAAUAUUGCACAAUGGGCGCAAGCCUGAUGCAGCCAUGCCGCGUGUAUGAAGAAGGCCUUCGGGUUGUAAAGUACUUUCAGCGGGGAGGCGUUACCCGCAGAAGAAGCACCGGCUAACUCCGUGCCAGCAGCCGCGGUAAUUC